UCCUGGUCGGACAUCAGGAGGUUAGUGCAAUGGCAUAAGCCAGCUUGACUGCGAGCGUGACGGCGCGAGCAGGUGCGAAAGCAGGUCAUAGUGAUCCGGUGGUUCUGAAUGGAAGGGCCAUCGCUCAACGGAUAAAAGGUACUCCGGGGAUAACAGGCUGAUACCGCCCAAGAGUUCAUAUCGACGGCGGUGUUUGGCACCUCGAUGUCGGCUCAUCACAUCCUGGGGCUGAAGUAGGUCCCAAGGGUAUGGCUGUUCGCCAUUUAAAGUGGUACGCGAGCUGGGUUUAGAACGUCGUGAGACAGUUCGGUCCCUAUCUGCCGUGGGCGCUGGAGAAUUGAGGGGGGCUGCUCCUAGUACGAGAGGACCGGAGUGGACGCAUCACUGGUGUUCGGGUUGUCAUGCCAAUGGCACUGCCCGGUAGCUAAAUGCGGAAGAGAUAAGUGCUGAAAGCAUCUAAGCACGAAACUUGCCCCGAGAUGAGUUCUCCCUGACUCCUUGAGAGUCCUGAAGGAACGUUGAAGACGACGACGUUGAUAGGCCGGGUGUGUAAGCGCAGCGAUGCGUUGAGCUAACCGGUACUAAUGAACCGUGAGGCUUAACCUU
rnacentral:rRNA from 1 species